rnacentral:rRNA from 1 species
UGAAAUGUGGAUUUGAAAGUAAAAUAAUCUAAGAGUGAUUUUAUGAAUAAAGAUUCUAAAAUAUGUACACAUUGCCCGUCACUCUUACUUAAGGUAAGAUAAGUCGUAACAUAGUAGAUGUACCGGAAGGUGUAUCUGGAAUGAGAGGAGUAAAUAGCUAAAGGUUAAGUAUAUUAUUUACACCAAUAUGAUAUUUGUAUAAUUUUACUUUUAAUUUAAUUGUUUUUAAGGUAUUGGUUUAGUAAAUUAUAAAGAGUUUAUCUGUGAAGGGGAGAUCACUUUUAAAUUUAAUAUAAUGUAGAAUUGCUGUACCUUUUGUAUCAGGGUUAAUUUAAUUUUAAUUUUAUAUUUAAUUUUCUCGAAAUGGAAAGAUUUAAGUUAAUUUAAUUUUAGUGUUUAAGAAUUAAGAUAAAAAUUACUUUAGGUUUAAUAAAAAUUUAGCUUUUUAAUAUCUAGUUAUUUUGCAGUUUGAUUUAAUCAAUUUGAUUUUUGAGCUAGUGUUUUAAAAAUAAUUUACAAUUAUGGGGAUAAUCUUGUAAUUUAUUUAAUAGUUAUAAAAAUUGUUAUUUAUUUUGGAGGCUUAGGGUUAGCUUUUUAUGUGUAAAAAUUAUAUUAAUAGUUAAUAAUAUUUUUAAAUAGCUUUAAGGGGAUGUAAAGUUGUUUAAUUAUAUUAAUUAAUUUUAUUAAUAAUGAUUAAAUUAGUAGAAAAUGCAAAUAAUAGCUAAGAAUUCGGCAAUUUUUAUCUUUCGUCUGUUUAUCAAAAACAUUUUUGGGAGAGAAAUAUUUUUGAUAA